rnacentral:tRNA from 1 species
CCAGGGUUGGUCGAGUGGCUUAUGACAGCAGCUUGAUAAGCUGCCGAGGGUUUAGGCCCUUCGCGGGUUCGAAUCCCGCACUCUCCG